rnacentral:lncRNA from 1 species
GACGAACUGUUUUGCCGGUUGUCGCGGUAAUACUAUGAAAGUUUAGAUGCCAAUCACCAUAUAAGGUCAACGAUGAAAAAGCCUGGAAGGAAGAGAGAUGACUAGAAACGAUUCAGUUGAGCAUUUAAUGUGUGGAUUAUUUGUCGGAGUAGAGGACCUUGGGCAUUUCAGAUUGGGUCUGCUGAUGAUCAGCAUAACAUCCUGACUCUGUGACUGAUCCUAUGGCUGCGGUGAUAGUUGACAGAGUGAUAAGGGAGUAUAAGCUAAUUUGAAACAUUGUUUCAACAGAAUGUGAUAUUUUUUGGUGUUUUAGAGAUUUGCAUUAAGAAUAUUGGUAGUAGUAAUAAUUUGUCAUAUGAACUGAAUUGUUCUGAUUUGUCCUUUCUUGAGGUUAUGGUGGAGAUGGUAUCUAGAUGCAUAGGCGGGAUAAUUUGACCAAACAGGGUGUAGACAUCAAAACCCCCUCUAACUGGCUGAAGAAAUGACGUUCCCUAUGGCCCUGUCCUGCACCACUUCUAUCGAGAGACCUUAGCCAGCAUCCGGUGUACAGCAUCCAGUUGAAGUUAUCAAAUGCCUUUUCUUUCAGGAGUGAAAAAGAAGUCCACGUGGAGUGAACAUGGGGAGAGAGAGAUCCGUUCCAAAACUUAUCUCAUAUUGCUGGUACACUGGUUGGCAAAUGGACAAGACAUAAUGAGUUGUGGUGGGAUUCUGGUGAGACAUUGAAAUUGGGACAUUAUCAUGGGCCAUCCACUUCGAACUGUGAAGCUAUCUGAAGAAGAAAAUGAAGAGAAAUGCCAGAAGAUUGAGUGUCGGAGAAGAGAGGGGAUGAGGACCCCAAUUCUGAGCAUAAGGACCCAGAUGUGGACUCGUGUUCCUACUAUAUGUACAAGAGUUUCCAGUUGUUUUGAAAAUACCAUAAAUCCAGAGAAUGCAAGACUUUGAUGACAAAAUUUACCCACGAAGGACCACCGCACCACCUUCCUUUUCAAAUGAGCACAGCACAACAAGCGGAGAUGUGUAUGUGCACCAUGCAGACUGGCACCCAGAUGACCAAACCGAAAGGAAAUAUGCGGCUGGUCAGGUUCUUCUACCUGGAUGAACACAAGUCCUCAAUCCGCUGGAUGCCCUCCAGGAAGCAUGAUAAGGCUUAAAGACAUGAGCCCUAGGACCAUGCCUCAGGACUACCUGGUAUGAUGACUCCUUGCUGUCCCCAGUCCACCUGGCCGUGCUGCUGCUCCAGUUUCAACUGUUCUGCCUGCGGCUAUGGAACCCUGACCUGUUCACCGGACGUGCUUGUUGCACCCUCGAC